rnacentral:rRNA from 1 species
AGUGAACGCUGGCGGUAGGCCUAACACAUGCAAGUCGAACGGCAGCACAGUAAGAGCUUGCUCUUACGGGUGGCGAGUGGCGGACGGGUGAGGAAUACAUCGGAAUCUACUUUUUCGUGGGGGAUAACGUAGGGAAACUUACGCUAAUACCGCAUACGACCUACGGGUGAAAGCAGGGGAUCUUCGGACCUUGCGCGAUUGAAUGAGCCGAUGUCGGAUUAGCUAGUUGGCGGGGUAAAGGCCCACCAAGGCGACGAUCCGUAGCUGGUCUGAGAGGAUGAUCCGGCACACUGGAAACUGGGCACGGUUCAGACUCCUACGGGAGGCCAGCGUGGGGAAUAUUGGGACAUGGGGGGAAACCCGAUCCCAGCCUAACGGGGGGGUGAAGAAGGCCUUCGGGUUGUAAAGCCCUUUUGUUGGGAAAGAAAAGCAGCAGGUUAAUACCCCGCUGUUCUGACGGUACCCAAAGAAUAAGCACCGGCUAACUUCGUG